AAUAGAUACCCCGGUAGUCCACGCUGUAAACGAUGAAUACUAGGUGUUGGGUUUUUAACUCAGUGCCGCAGCUAACGCAUUAAGUAUUCCACCUGGGAAGUACGAUCGCAAGGUUGAAACUCAAAGGAAUUGACGGGGGCCCGCACAAGCAGUGGAGCAUGUGGUUUAAUUCGAUGCAACGCGAAGAACCUUACCUAGGCUUGAAAGGCAAGUGACAGGGUAUGAAAGUACCCCUCCAGCAAUGGCACUUGUACAGGUGCUGCAUGGCUGUCGUCAGCUCGUGCCGUGAGGUGUUGGGUUAAGUCCCGCAACGAGCGCAACCCCCUACUAUUAGUUGCCACCAGGUUAUGCUGAGCACUCUAAUAGGACUGCCUACGCAAGUAGUGAGGAAGGUGGGGAUGACGUCAAGUCCGCAUGGCCCUUACGCCUAGGGCUACACACGUGCUACAAUGGGUGUUACAAUGGGUUGCUAAGCCGCAAGGUGGAGCCAAUCCUUUAAAAGCAUCCUCAGUUCGGAUUGGAGUCUGAAA
rnacentral:rRNA from 1 species